UCUCUCUUCCAUAUGUCCAUCGACGCCCACCUCCUUUCUCUUUUCUGCCGCAAAACCAUCCCAUCCCAACCCAAACAAACACCACCCUGAACCACCACCAACCAGCGACCCGAACCACCAUCAAACACCACCGUCACCAACCAAACCACCAACGCACCAUCGGCACGCCGCGCGAUCUUCUCUAUCGACGCAGACAACAUCUGCUCCGCCUCCCGCUGCUUCAAGUGCAGCCUUCAACGCUAAUGCGUAACCCAAGAAGAUGAAGGUGGCUUGCGAUUAGCCAAGAUUUGAACCAAAAAUUUCCCUUUGAAGAGGCGAGGAGGUGCCUUGUGCGGUUACGGCGUGGCGUUGCCGAAGUGGUGGCAGCAGCAGCAAGUUUUCUAUGUCGUGCUGGUGAGAUAAAGCAAGGGAGAUCUUGAGCAGAAAUAAAAUAAUAAAUGUGCUUCUGAAUUCUAAUAGGUGCUAAGUUGAAGUCUAUUGAUCACCAUUUAGUCCCUCCAAGUGGGCCUACAAUCAUGGUUUCAUUUCUCUUAUGUCAAGGUGCUCCAGUACUAUAUUAGCUGAUCAAGAAUGGUGAUGGUAGCAAUGAUGCACUAUAGAUUUCUUCUUUGUUUCCGCCCUAUUCUGAACCGAUGUCCUUUAGGUCGUUCAGUGUCUUCAUUGCAAAAUCUUGAGCAGGCUGUUAGAGCGGAAGUAGAAGCCAAAAACUAUAUUAAAAUUCCUGAGCUUCUCAUUUCCUCGGAUGCCUGCCAAAUAUCAAAUCCCUUUUCUUUCUUUUCUUCAUUUCCUCAGAACAUACGAGUGCAAAUUGUUGAUGAAAUGCUGCAAUCUUUAAUACCUAUCAGACCACGUUCGAAGGCCCAGCUAACUUAUUCGUAUCUUCUUUCUUACACCCUUCAAAGCUCCCAUCCCUUCCCCCUUGCACUAGCUGUCCUACAACGGACUUUACGUUCUGGUUGCGUUCCAGUUCCUCAGACCCAUGUUCUCCUCUCAUCUGCUUGGUUGGACCAGCAUUGUCUGUCUCAUUCUGUAGCUAAUAUUUUACUUCAGAUGCAAUCAAUUGGAUAUCAUCCUGACUGUGGGACUUGUAAUUAUCUACUAUCAUCUCUAUGUGCGGUUGAUCAACUAGAGGAGGCAGUUAAAGUCCUGAGGGGCAUGGGUGGGGCAGGAUGUAUUCCAGAUUCGAGUAGUUAUGGCGCUGUAAUUGGUGCGAUGUGCAGAGUGAGAAAGACUGCUAAGGCACUGGAUUUGAUGAAGCAAAUGGUGGUCCAAUACGGUUUAACCCCAGGACAGGGAACACUGGUGAAAUUGCUGGCAGCAUUACGGGCAAACAGGGAAAUAUGGAAGGCUGUUGAGAUGAUUGAAUUCCUGGAGAAAGAGGGUAACUCUGUUGGAUUUGAGAGUUAUGAGUUAGUCAUUGAAGGGUGCUUGGAGAAACGUGAGUAUGUUUUGGCUGCGAAGGUUGCAACAGGAAUGACAGAAAGAGGUUUUAUACCAUAUAUCAGGGUCAGGCAGAAGAUUAUCGAAGGCUUGGCCAGUAUCGAUGAGUGGAAUUUAGCUUGUGCUGUGAGACAAAGAUUUGCAGCACUUAAAUCUUAGCUGUUAAAUUAUUUAUAGCGGGCCAAGUACAAUGCUUAAUGCCAAUCAAGUGACUACAUAUUGUGUGACUUUUGCAUUAUGGUGUCUGUUCUUUUCUCAAUGACAUUACUGGAAGAUUAUCUCAUGCUUUGAGGUAGAGUAAUGAAGCACAAAGAUCUCGGAUUUGCAAAGCAUUUGAGUGUAUAAUUUAUGACGUCAAAGCAUAGAAAGGGGUUUGGUGGUCCUUUGUUGGGUUUACUGGUUUUGAGGUGGGUUCAUUACUAAGGUGGAUCUUGGGGAUCACUAGGGGUUCGACACAAAGGGCAGUGGGAGAAGAGGAUAAGAAACGAAUUGAAGGUCUACAACACAGCAGGUCAGUUAGCCUAGUAUACUGCUUAAUGCUUGUCUGGGUAGCUAGCCUCCAUGGCAAUUCCACAAGUACCAUCUUUAUCCUUAGGAUCUCGCUUCAUCCUAAUAUAGCCAGAUACACCUCAGUCAUUUGCCCAUGAAUUCUUCACAAGCCAGUACUUUUCACCAUUUUCUUCUCCAUAUCCAACUAUAGUCAUGCGGUGAUUGAGGUCCUUUCCACAGCUACCAGAGAAGGUACCUUUUGAAUAAAGUUGAAAUGCAUAACCUCCAGCAUCAGUUGCAACAGAGGCAGGUUGAUGAGCAACUGCAGCUUUUAGCAUAUUCUCAUUGUGAGCAGGCAGGUUUUCAUAGCCGCAUAUGGCGACAGCAUGGUUUCUAACUUUGGCCUUAUUAGUCACCAUCUGAUCCUUGAUAAGGAUAGUUUUUAUCUGUGGACAUGCACUUGCAGUUAUCCAUAGAUUGCACAAGACAAGAAGAUUGAUGAUAGCAACUAAUGUUAUUGUUGUCUUCAUGGCUAGUUUUUAGUGCAGCAUAGAAUGACAGCAUGCAUUGAUAUUUAUUAUUAAAAUGUUAUGUUUGUUUCUUUUACACAUUAAAAUGCAUGUUCAUUACUAUUUUAGAGGCGUUUUUGCUACAUGUUUAUCUUGCAUCCAUGAAUUUCAUGCUUGUGACUUUGAACAAGGCAUGAAUUCUAUGUUUCAUUUUCUCUGCAUGACCAUAAUACAGACGUGCAGUGCAGGUCUUGAAUUUGCUUAAGGUUAACCUGCCCAAAACUACUGAAUUCUAAUACAUUUGCAUGUUUGAUAGGCAAUUUCCUCAACUUA